CACCUCUAGCAUUACAAGUAUUAGAGGCAUUGCCUGCCCAGUGACUUUCAAGUUUAACGGCCGCGGUAUUCUGACCGUGCAAAGGUAGCAUAAUCAUUUGUUCCCCAAUUAGGGACUAGUAUGAAUGGCUAGACGAGGAUUCAACUGUCUCUUAUUCCCAAUCAGUGAAAUUGACCUUCCAGUGAAGAGGCUGGAAUAAAACAAUAAGACGAGAAGACCCUAUGGAGCUUUAAUUAACUAGCCUAAUUAUAAUAUUUAUACCCUAAUGGAACAAAACCAUAAACAUUAAGCUAACAAUUUCGGUUGGGGUGACCUCGGAGAACAAAAAAUCCUCCGAAUGAUUAUAGCACAGACAAACAAGUCAAAGCAAUCCGCUAUAUCUAAUUGACCCAAAAAUACUUUGACCAACGGACCAAGUUACCCUAGGGAUAACAGCGCAAUCCUAUUUAAGAGUCCAUAUCGACAAUUAGGGUUUACGACCUCGAUGUUGGAUCAGGACACCCCAAUGGUGCAGAAGCUAUUAAAGGUUCGUUUGUUCAACGAUUAAAGUCCU
rnacentral:rRNA from 1 species